UGACUCAGAGUUGCAAUAAUGACUGUAGCAGAGCGGCAGAUGAAAGGUUCAGUCUGACUGUAGACAGCAGAGAGAGAAGCAGCUAGGGCUGAACACCUCUGCCUCAUACCCUCCCCACUGCUCACUGGCUUAAUACGUGUCCUGGUGAAGGCAAGCUUGUGGUCCGAAGCACAAACCGUAAAGUGUAUUAGAGGAUCUUUCAGUGCAUGGAGCAGGAUCAGCUCUAGGUCUGACCAGUGAGUGAGAAAACAUCAUCCAGAGGAGAAUUGUGCAUCGCUUGGCAGUUGAUGGAUCAUUUGCAACAGAGGCGUCCUGAUCCACGCAGGUGGAACACCGGGACACAUUCUGGACUAGCGCUGCUGAGACCAUCCUUCCAGAAAUAUUCCCUUCAUCUUCUAAAAGUCCACUAUUGAAUUUCUGACAGCGCGGGUCGGCUCUGGUUUGACCGCAGUUUGGUGCUUUAGCACUCCCCCUGGUGUUCAUCUAGAGAAUGGACCAUAUAGUGAGGGGAGAGCUUCUCAGUUUUACUGCACAUCUAGUGUCAGGAAUUUAUUUCUCUUUGUAUAAUUUUGUAUCAAGCUAUAGAUAUAAGGUUUGCUGUCCAACAAUCUGCAUUCAGAAGCUGAUUUCAAUUGGUAGCAUAGAUGUUUGUAUCCAGUCUCUAGCACCAUAUGAAAUCAGUGUUCUGGGAGGUGGACUUCCAGCGUGUAUAGACUAUACAUGAAUAAACCAAAAGUAACUUACAUUUGUGUAAGUUCUGACCACUUUGUUGCUUCAAAAACAGCUUUUUGUCAUCAAGAUUUAUCAGUUUUAUCGAGUUUCAGGUUUGAUUUUGUUCUUUGGUUUUUGUGCCCUUUUGUUUUUCUACAUUGUUCAGUUUAAAGAGUUUAGUUUCCAUGUUUUCAGAUGUUCACUUUAUACAGAAUACCAAAUGGCCAAAUUAUUUGGUUUUCUAUUGUAUAUGUAUUGUAUUGUGUAUGUAUUGUAUUGUGUAUGUAUUGUAUAUGUAUCUAUGUAUGUAUGACUCAUCAUAUUUGCUCACCAACAAAUUAUUGCUUGUGUGUUUGUAUCUGAAACAUCUCUUUGUUUUAACUGUUACCAUCAGGAGUGUCUGGGUAGCACUUGAUUCAAGCUGUAAAGGCCAUACUAAGGGAUAAUGUCGUUAUUUCAAGAAAACAAAAAACUAUUUAUCCAGAUAAUCAGAUUAGCUAGUUUGGCUAUCUCCAGUUGGCAGAUAUGGGAGGCUGUCCUCAGUGGGUAUAGUAGUCAUCGUGCAUUUGGACAGUUAUAGGUUCAAUUCCAGAUUUGUCCUGCCACAUGUCGACAUGCACCUUAGGGCAUCUAACCCUAAGGUGCCUACUGAUCUGUGUGUGCAUGUGUUGGUCAGUUCAGCUUCUUGAAUGUGGCUCUGGAGUGGUCAAUAGGACUAGAAAAGCCCUUUGCAAAUUCAGUCCAUUAACCAUGGCCUUAUAAUUUAGUCAUGCCUUCAAGAAAAUUACAUCAAGCUGAAUUAUUAGAUAUGUUUUCUCAAAUAUAAUGAGGUUUAUCCUAUACAGAGGUUGUAGGAAGACCUGAUCAGUUGAUAACGGGGUAUACCUUGGAGAGGUCUCCUGUCCAUCAUACAACCAGUAAAGAGACAAAUAAGACAAACAAACAAAUGUAUCACCUUAGUUUAACCUAACAUUCUUUGGAAAAAAAAAUUAGUACCUGGUGAAAACCCUCUCACACACAAAGAGACCACAACCACCAGCAGGCACAGAGCUUGCAACCAGGACCCUUUUCUGCUGUGAGACAACAUUGUUUUUUUAAUAAAAUCUUCACACUAUUUUCACCUACUGUUCUCUUUUUUCAGGUGGUCAGAAGCAUUUUUAUUAUGGUUGUAAUGGUUAUAAAUCAAAUAAAGUUUCUGUUGUGUUCUUAAUAACCUAUGCAGUACUUGUUAGAGCUAGAAACUUUGGUGACCUGAAUAAAGUCUGUGGAAACUUGUAA